rnacentral:rRNA from 1 species
UUAAGCGACUAAGCGUACACGGUGGAUGCCCUGGCAGUCAGAGGCGAUGAAGGACGUGCUAAUCUGCGAAAAGCGUCGGUAAGGUGAUAUGAACCGUUAUAGCCGGCGAUGUCCGAAUGGGGAAACCCAGUGCAAUUCGUUGCACUAUCGUUAACUGAAUACAUAGGUUAACGAGGCGAACCGGGGGAACUGAAACAUCUAAGUACCCCGAGGAAAAGAAAUCAACCGAGAUUCCCCCAGUAGCGGCGAGCGAACGGGGAGCAGCCCAGAGUCUGAAUCAGCUUGUGUGUUAGUGGAACGGUCUGGAAAGUCCGACGGUACAGGGUGAUAGUCCCGUACACCAAAAUGCACAGGCUGUGAACUCGAAGAGUAGGGCGGGACACGUGGUAUCCUGUCUGAAUAUGGGGGGACCAUCCUCCAAGGCUAAAUACUCCUGACUGACCGAUAGUGAACCAGUACCGUGAGGGAAAGGCGAAAAGAACCCCGGCGAGGGGAGUGAAAAAGAACCUGAAACCGUGUACGUACAAGCAGUGGGAGCACCUUCGGGUGUGACUGCGUACCUUUUGUAUAAUGGGUCAGCGACUUAUAUUCUGUAGCAAGGUUAACCGUAUAGGGGAGCCGCAGGGAAACCGAGUCUUAACUGGGCGUUAAGUUGCAGGGUAUAGACCCGAAACCCGGUGAUCUAGCCAUGGGCAGGUUGAAGGUUGGGUAACACUAACUGGAGGACCGAACCGACUAAUGUUGAAAAAUUAGCGGAUGACUUGUGGCUGGGGGUGAAAGGCCAAUCAAACCGGGAGAUAGCUGGUUCUCCCCGAAAGCUAUUUAGGUAGCGCCUCGUGAAUUCAUCUUCGGGGGUAGAGCACUGUUUCGGCUAGGGGGUCAUCCCGACUUACCAACCCGAUGCAAACUACGAAUACCGAAGAAUGUUAUCACGGGAGACACACGGCGGGUGCUAACGUCCGUCGUGAAGAGGGAAACAACCCAGACCGCCAGCUAAGGUCCCAAAGUCAUGGUUAAGUGGGAAACGAUGUGGGAAGGCACAGACAGCCAGGAUGUUGGCUUAGAAGCAGCCAUCAUUUAAAGAAAGCGUAAUAGCUCACUGGUCGAGUCGGCCUGCGCGGAAGAUGUAACGGGGCUAAACCAUGCACCGAAGCUGCGGCAGCGACACUAUGUGUUGUUGGGUAGGGGAGCGUUCUGUAAGCCUGCGAAGGUGUGCUGUGAGGCAUGCUGGAGGUAUCAGAAGUGCGAAUGCUGACAUAAGUAACGAUAAAGCGGGUGAAAAGCCCGCUCGCCGGAAGACCAAGGGUUCCUGUCCAACGUUAAUCGGGGCAGGGUGAGUCGACCCCUAAGGCGAGGCCGAAAGGCGUAGUCGAUGGGAAACAGGUUAAUAUUCCUGUACUUGGUGUUACUGCGAAGGGGGGACGGAGAAGGCUAUGUUAGCCGGGCGACGGUUGUCCCGGUUUAAGCAUGUAGGCUGGUUAUCCAGGCAAAUCCGGAUAAUCAAGGCUGAGGUGUGAUGACGAGGCACUACGGUGCUGAAGUAACAAAUGCCCUGCUUCCAGGAAAAGCCUCUAAGCAUCAGGUAACAUUAAAUCGUACCCCAAACCGACACAGGUGGUCAGGUAGAGAAUACCAAGGCGCUUGAGAGAACUCGGGUGAAGGAACUAGGCAAAAUGGUGCCGUAACUUCGGGAGAAGGCACGCUGGUGUGUAGGUGAAGUCCCUGCGGAUGGAGCUGAGACCAGUCGAAGAUACCAGCUGGCUGCAACUGUUUAUUAAAAACACAGCACUGUGCAAACACGAAAGUGGACGUAUACGGUGUGACGCCUGCCCGGUGCCGGAAGGUUAAUUGAUGGGGUUAUCCGUAAGGAGAAGCUCUUGAUCGAAGCCCCGGUAAACGGCGGCCGUAACUAUAACGGUCCUAAGGUAGCGAAAUUCCUUGUCGGGUAAGUUCCGACCUGCACGAAUGGCGUAAUGAUGGCCAGGCUGUCUCCACCCGAGACUCAGUGAAAUUGAACUCGCUGUGAAGAUGCAGUGUACCCGCGGCAAGACGGAAAGACCCCGUGAACCUUUACUAUAGCUUGACACUGAACAUUGAGCCUUGAUGUGUAGGAUAGGUGGGAGGCUUUGAAGCGUGGACGCCAGUCUGCGUGGAGCCAACCUUGAAAUACCACCCUUUAAUGUUUGAUGUUCUAACGUUGGCCCCUGACCGGGGUUGCGGACAGUGUCUGGUGGGUAGUUUGACUGGGGCGGUCUCCUCCCAAAGCGUAACGGAGGAGCACGAAGGUUAGCUAAUCCUGGUCGGACAUCAGGAGGUUAGUGCAAUGGCAUAAGCUAGCUUGACUGCGAGCGUGACGGCGCGAGCAGGUGCGAAAGCAGGUCAUAGUGAUCCGGUGGUUCUGAAUGGAAGGGCCAUCGCUCAACGGAUAAAAGGUACUCCGGGGAUAACAGGCUGAUACCGCCCAAGAGUUCAUAUCGACGGCGGUGUUUGGCACCUCGAUGUCGGCUCAUCACAUCCUGGGGCUGAAGUAGGUCCCAAGGGUAUGGCUGUUCGCCAUUUAAAGUGGUACGCGAGCUGGGUUUAGAACGUCGUGAGACAGUUCGGUCCCUAUCUGCCGUGGGCGCUGGAGAAUUGAGGGGGGCUGCUCCUAGUACGAGAGGACCGGAGUGGACGCAUCACUGGUGUUCGGGUUGUCAUGCCAAUGGCACUGCCCGGUAGCUAAAUGCGGAAGAGAUAAGUGCUGAAAGCAUCUAAGCACGAAACUUGCCCCGAGAUGAGUUCUCCCUGAGACUUUAAGUCUCCUGAAGGAACGUUAAAGACGAUGACGUUGAUAGGCCGGGUGUGUAAGCGCAGCGAUGCGUUGAGCUAACCGGUACUAAUGAACCGUGAGGCUUAACCU